rnacentral:rRNA from 1 species
AUUGAACGCUGGCGGCAGGCCUAACACAUGCAAGUCGAGCGGAUGAAGGGAGCUUGCUUCUGGUUCUAGCGGCGGACGGGGGAGUAAUGCCUAGGAAUCUGCCUGGCAGUGGGGGAUAACGACCUGAAACGGGCGCUAAUACCGCAUGCGUGCUGAGGGAGAAAGUGGGGGAUCUUCGGACAUCACGGUAUCAGAUGAGCCUAGGUCGGGUUAGCUAGUUGGUGGGGUAAAGGCCUACCAAGCCGAGGAUCCGCAACUGGCCGGAGAGGAUGAUCGGUCACACUGGAACUGAGACACGGUCCAGACUCCUACGGGAGGCAGCAGUGGGGAAUAUUGGACAAUGGGCGGAAGCCUGAUACAGCCAUGCCGCGUGUGUGAAGAAGGUCUUCGGAUUGUAAAGCCCUUUUAGUUGGGAGGAAGGGCAGUAAGUUGAUACGUUGCUGUUUUGACGGUACCAACAGAAUAAGCACCGGCUAACUACGUG